rnacentral:lncRNA from 1 species
CGCAUUCCGGCGAGUUCGUGCACGCCGUUAGCUUGAGAGUUUCCUGCGUUUUCUGUGUUCUUUGUGUGCUUCGCUGUGACAUCUUUGGAAUAUUCCUGCGUGUUGCUCGCUUUUUAUGGACUUGUUGCCUCGAAGAUCGCCAUGAUCGCCUCCGACUCAGCGACAUCAAGGAUUCAAAAUGAGCUGGGAGAGGCCCCAGCUGGAACGGUUCACAUAGGUUGAAGGAGUGCACAUUGAGAAGGUUAUCCUGGCACAGUUU